UACGAAGGGUGCCAGCGUUACUCGGAAUUACUGGGCGUAAAGAAUGCGUAGGCGGACUUGUAAGUUAGGAGUGAAAUCCCUGGGCUCAACCUAGGAACUGCUUUUAAAACUGCUUGUCUUGAAUGCUAGAAUGAUUAGGGGAAUUCUUGGUGUAGGGGUAAUAUCCGUAGAUAUCAGGAGGAAGACCGGAAGCGAAAGCGCUUAAUUAGCUAGAUAUUGACGCUGAUGCAUGAAAGCGUGGGGAGCAAACAGG
rnacentral:rRNA from 1 species